CUCGUUGUGCGACCAACGAUAGCCUAGGGAAACAUGCGUCACCGGUAACGGUGGGGUAUGAAGCUUUCCCGACAAUGUAGCCCCCGUCAGGGUGCGACCUCGCCGCGAGGCGAGGCGUAGAUGCUCGGAGCAGUACCGGGUUGAGGCG
rfam:Pseudomonas taeanensis MS-3 contig_01, whole genome shotgun sequence.